rnacentral:rRNA from 1 species
GAUGAACGCUGGCGGCGUGCCUAACACAUGCAAGUCGAACGGAGUUAUUAUUAUGAAGUUUUCGGAUGGAUUAAUAAUAACUUAGUGGCGGACGGGUGAGUAACGCGUGGGUAACCUGCCUCAUACAGGGGGAUAACAGUUGGAAACGACUGCUAAAACCGCAUAACAUUGCGACGCCGCAUGACGAUGCAAUUAAAUAUUUAUAGGUAUGAGAUGGGCCCGCGUCUGAUUAGCUAGUUGGUGAGGUAAUGGCUCACCAAGGCGACGAUCAGUAGCCGGCUUGAGAGAGUGACCGGCCACAUUGGGACUGAGACACGGCCCAAACUCCUACGGGAGGCAGCAGUGGGGAAUAUUGCACAAUGGGGGAAACCCUGAUGCAGCGACGCUGCGUGAGUGAAGAAGUAUUUCGGUAUGUAAAGCUCUAUCAGCAGGGAAGAAAUUGACGGUACCUGACUAAGAAGCCCCGGCUAACUACGUGCCAGCCGCCGCGGUAA